UACGAAGGGGGCGAGCGUUGUUCGGAUUUACUGGGCGUAAAGGGCGCGCAGGCGGCUCAUUUUGUCAGGCGUGAAAGCCCCGGGCUUAACCUGGGAACUGCGUUUGAUACGGAUGGGCUAGAGUUCGGGAGAGGAGAGUGGAAUUCCCAGUGUAGAGGUGAAAUCGUAGAUAUUAGGAAGAACACCAGUGGCGAAGGCGGCUCACUGGUCCGGUACUGGACGCUGA
rnacentral:rRNA from 1 species